UUCGGGGGACAGAGUGACAGGUGGUGCAUGGUUGUCGUCAGCUCGUGUCGUGAGAUGUUGGGUUAAGUCCCGCAACGAGCGCAACCCUUGAUCUUAGUUGCCAGCAUUUAGUUGGGCACUCUAAGGUGACUGCCGGUGACAAACCGGAGGAAGGUGGGGAUGACGUCAAAUCAUCAUGCCCCUUAUGACCUGGGCUACACACGUGCUACAAUGGAUGGUACAAAGAGUCGCAAACCCGCGAGGGCUAGCUAAUCUCAUAAAGCCAUUCUCAGUUCGGAUUGUAGGCUGCAACUCGCCUACAUGAAGCCGGAAUCGCUAGUAAUCGCGGAUCAGCAUGCCGCGGUGAAUACGUUCCCGGGCCUUGUACACACCGCCCGUCACACCACGAGAGUUUGUAACACCCGAAGUCGGUGAGGU
rnacentral:rRNA from 1 species